rnacentral:rRNA from 1 species
CCUACGGGUGGCUGCAGUGGGGAAUAUUGCGCAAUGGGCGAAAGCCUGACGCAGCCACGCCGCGUGUGCGAUGAAGGUCUUCGGAUCGUAAAGCACUGUGGGGGGAGAAGAACAAAGCCGGUGAAGAGCCGGCCCUGACGGUAUCCCCUUAGCAAGCACCGGCUAACUCCGUGCCAGCAGCCGCGGUAAUACGGAGGGUGCAAACGUUGCUCGGAAUCACUGGGCGUAAAGCGCACGUAGGCGGCCUUGUAAGUUGGAUGUGAAAGCCCUGGGCU